rnacentral:rRNA from 1 species
AGCCUGACGCAGCCAUGCCGCGUGAAUGAUGAAGGUCUUAGGAUUGUAAAAUUCUUUCACCGGGGACGAUAAUGACGGUACCCGGAGAAGAAGCUCCGGCUAACUUCGUGCCAGCAGCCGCGGUAAUACGAAGGGGGCUAGCGUUGCUCGGAAUUACUGGGCGUAAAGGGCGCGUAGGCGGACAGUUUAGUCAGAGGUGAAAGCCCAGGGCUCAACCUUGGAAUAGCCUUUGAUACUGGCUGUCUUGAGUGCGGGAGAGGUGUGUGGAACUCCGAGUGUAGAGGUGAAAUUCGUAGAUAUUCGGAAGAACACCAGUGGCGAAGGCGACACACUGGCCCGUUACUGACGCUGAGGCGCGAAAGCGUGGGGAGCAAACAGGAUUAGAUACCCUGGUAGUCCACGCUGUAAACGAUGAGUGCUAGUUGUCGGCAUGCAUGCAUGUCGGUGACGCAGCUAACGCAUUAAGCACUCCGCCUGGGGAGUACGGUCGCAAGAUUAAAACUCAAUGAAAUUGACGG